rnacentral:rRNA from 1 species
UGCAAGUCGAACGCGUUGGCCCAAUUGAUUGAUGGUGCUUGCACCUGAUUGAUUUUGGUCGCCAACGAGUGGCGGACGGGUGAGUAACACGUAGGUAACCUGCCCAGAAGCGGGGGACAACAUUUGGAAACAGAUGCUAAUACCGCAUAACAGCGUUGUUCGCAUGAACAACGCUUAAAAGAUGGCUUCUCGCUAUCACUUCUGGAUGGACCUGCGGUGCAUUAGCUUGUUGGUGGGGUAACGGCCUACCAAGGCGAUGAUGCAUAGCCGAGUUGAGAGACUGAUCGGCCACAAUGGGACUGAGACACGGCCCAUACUCCUACGGGAGGCAGCAGUAGGGAAUCUUCCACAAUGGGCGCAAGCCUGAUGGAGCAACACCGCGUGAGUGAAGAAGGGUUUCGGCUCGUAAAGCUCUGUUGUUAAAGAAGAACACGUAUGAGAGUAACUGUUCAUACGUUGACGGUAUUUAACCAGAAAGUCACGGCUAACUACGUGCCAGCAGCCGCGGUAAUACGUAGGUGGCAAGCGUUAUCCGGAUUUAUUGGGCGUAAAGAGAGUGCAGGCGGUUUUCUAAGUCUGAUGUGAAAGCCUUCGGCUUAACCGGAGAAGUGCAUCGGAAACUGGAUAACUUGAGUGCAGAAGAGGGUAGUGGAACUCCAUGUGUAGCGGUGGAAUGCGUAGAUAUAUGGAAGAACACCAGUGGCGAAGGCGGCUACCUGGUCUGCAACUGACGCUGAGACUCGAAAGCAUGGGUAGCGAACAGGAUUAGAUACCCUGGUAGUCCAUGCCGUAAACGAUGAGUGCUAGGUGUUGGAGGGUUUCCGCCCUUCAGUGCCGGAGCUAACGCAUUAAGCACUCCGCCUGGGGAGUACGACCGCAAGGUUGAAACUCAAAGGAAUUGACGGGGGCCCGCACAAGCGGUGGAGCAUGUGGUUUAAUUCGAAGCUACGCGAAGAACCUUACCAGGUCUUGACAUCUUGCGCCAACCCUAGAGAUAGGGCGUUUCCUUCGGGAACGCAAUGACAGGUGGUGCAUGGUCGUCGUCAGCUCGUGUCGUGAGAUGUUGGGUUAAGUCCCGCAACGAGCGCAACCCUUGUUACUAGUUGCCAGCAUUAAGUUGGGCACUCUAGUGAGACUGCCGGUGACAAACCGGAGGAAGGUGGGGACGACGUCAGAUCAUCAUGCCCCUUAUGACCUGGGCUACACACGUGCUACAAUGGACGGUACAACGAGUCGCGAACUCGCGAGGGCAAGCAAAUCUCUUAAAACCGUUCUCAGUUCGGACUGCAGGCUGCAACUCGCCUGCACGAAGUCGGAAUCGCUAGUAAUCGCGGAUCAGCAUGCCGCGGUGAAUACGUUCCCGGGCCUUGUACACACCGCCCGUCACACCAUGAGAGUUUGUAACACCCAAAGUCGGUGGGGUAACCUUUAGGAGCCAGCCGCCUAAG